rnacentral:rRNA from 1 species
GAUGAACGCUGGCGGCGUGCCUAAUACAUGCAAGUCGAGCGGAAGGACGAGAAAGUUGCUUCUUUGACGUUAGCGGCGCACGGGUGAGUAACACGUGGAUAACACACCUAUAAGACUGGGAUAACCUCGGGAAAACGGUGCCAAUACCGGCAAAUCUUUUGAACCGCAUGGUUCAAAAGUGAAAGACGGUCUUGCUGUCAAUGAUCGCUGGUUCCGCGCUGGAUUAGCUAGUUGGUAAGGUAACGGCUUACCAAGGCGACGAUGCAUAGCCGAUCUGAGAGGGUGACCGGCCACACUGGAACUGAGACACGGUCCAGACUCCUACGGGAGGCAGCAGUAGGGAAUCUUGCGCAAUGGGCGAAAGCCUGACGGAGCAACGCCGCGUGAGUGAUGAAGGUCUUCGGGUCGUAAAACACUGUUAGUGGGGAGGAACAGAUGUAUAAGUAAAUGUGCACAUAUUGACGGUACCUAAUCAAAAAGCCACGGCUAACUACGUG